rnacentral:rRNA from 1 species
UGCGGAUAUAUGUGCAGCAUUAUACCGUGAACUGCGAAUGGCUCAUUAAAUCAUUUAUCGUUUAUUUGAUAAUACCUUACUACUUGGAUAACCGUGGUAAUUCUAGAGCUAAUACAUGCUGAAAAUCCCGACUUCGGACAGGAUGUGUUUAUUAGAUAAAAAACCAAUGCCCUUCGGGGCUCUUUGGUGAUUCAUGAUAACUUUACGGAUCGCAUAGCCUUGCGCUGGCGACGGUUCAUUCAAAUUUCUGCCCUAUCAACUUUCGAUGGUAAGGUAUUGGCUUACCAUGGUUUCAACGGGUAACGGGGAAUUAGGGUUCGAUUCCGGAGAGGGAGCCUGAGAAACGGCUACCACAUCCAAGGAAGGCAGCAGGCGCGCAAAUUACCCAAUCCCGACACGGGGAGGUAGUGACAAUAAAUACUGAUACAGGGCUCUUUUGGGUCUUGUAAUUGGAAUGAGUACAAUUUAAACCUCUUAACGAGGAACAAUUGGAGGGCAAGUCUGGUGCCAGCAGCCGCGGUAAUUCCAGCUCCAAUAGCGUAUAUUAAAGUUGUUGCAGUUAAAAAGCUCGUAGUUGAAACUUGGGCCUGGCUGGCGGGUCCGCCUCACCGCGUGCACUCGUCCGGCCGGGCCUUCCUUCUGAAGAACCUCAUGCCCUUCACUGGGCGUGUUGGGGAAUCAGGACUUUUACUUUGAAAAAAUUAGAGUGUUCAAAGCAGGCCUUUGCUCGAAUACGUUAGCAUGGAAUAAUAAAAUAGGGCGUGCGUUUCUAUUUUGUUGGUUUCUAGAGACGCCGCAAUGAUUAACAGGAACAGUCGGGGGCAUCAGUAUUCAGUUGUCAGAGGUGAAAUUCUUGGAUUUACUGAAGACUAACUACUGCGAAAGCAUUUGCCCAAGGAUGUUUUCAUUAAUCAGUGAACGAAAGUUAGGGGAUCGAAGACGAUCAGAUACCGUCGUAGUCUUAACCGUAAACUAUGCCCGACUAGGGAUCGGGGCGAUG